rnacentral:rRNA from 1 species
UACGUAGGGUGCAAGCGUUGUCCGGAAUUAUUGGGCGUAAAGAGCUCGUAGGCGGUUUGUUGCGUCGGCUGUGAAAACCUGAGGCUCAACCUCAGGCCUGCAGUCGAUACGAGCAGACUAGAGUGUUGCAGGGGAGACUGGAAUUCCUGGUGUAGCGGUGAAAUGCGCAGAUAUCAGGAGGAACACCGGUGGCGAAGGCGGGUCUCUGGGCAACAACUGACGCUGAGGAGCGAAAGCAUGGGGAGCGAACAGG